GGGAUGAAGGCCUUCGGGUUGUAAACUGCUUUUUGUACGGAACGAAAAGGCUCUGGUUAAUACCUGGGGCCCAUGACGGUACCGUAAGAAUAAGCACCGGCUAACUACGUGCC
rnacentral:rRNA from 1 species